GCCCCUGUUGUCUAAUGGUUAUGACGUCAGACUUCUAAGCCAUUAGCUUAUCUGGAGGUUGCGAGUUCGAGUCUCGCCAGGGGUU